UUGUUGAAUAAAACAAAAACGUUCAUUUGACUUUUGGCAUGAAUGGACUCGAACGGAAACGUCUCACGUGUGGUUUGUGGCCCACAGACACAGCCAAGAGCGCCUCACUCAAAAGCCAACCGACGACCAGGAGUCUUUCGGGAACAGAAGAUGAGAGGUCAGCAGCGCCAAAGGAGUUUGGCGGGCGAGCAGGUGGACCAGACUUGGCGCUCCCUGGCGAAAAGAGAAAA